CUACGGGGGGCUCCAGUGGGGAAUAUUGGACAAUGGGGGAAACCCUGAUCCAGCAAUGCCGCGUGUGUGAAGAAGGCCUGCGGGUUGUAAAGCACUUUCGGUUGGGAGGACUGCUUCUAGCACUAAUAUUGUUGGAAGUUGACGUUACCUUCAGAAGAAGCACCGGCUACUCCGUGCCAGCAGCCGCGGUAAUACGGGAGGGUGCAAGCGUUAAUCGGAAUUACUGGGCGUAAAGCGCGCGUAGGCGGCUAGAUCAGUCGGGUGUGAAAGCCCCGGGCUUAACCUGGGAACUGCAUCCGAUACUGUCUAGCUUGAGUACAGGAGAGGAGAGUGGAAUUCCACAUGUAGCGGUGAAAUGCGUAGAUAUGUGGAGGAACACCAAUGGCGAAGGCAGCUCUCUGGCCUGAUACUGACGCUGAGGUGCGAAAGCGUGGGGAGCAAACAGGAUUAGAUACCCCGGUAGUC
rnacentral:rRNA from 1 species